rnacentral:rRNA from 1 species
UGGGGAAUAUUGGACAAUGGGCGAAAGCCUGAUCCAGCCAUGCCGCGUGUGUGAAGAAGGUCUUCGGAUUGUAAAGCACUUUAAGUUGGGAGGAAGGGCAGUAAGCGAAUACCUUGCUGUUUUGACGUUACCGACAGAAUAAGCACCGGCUAACUCUGUGCCAGCAGCCGCGGUAAUACAGAGGGUGCAAGCGUUAAUCGGAAUUACUGGGCGUAAAGCGCGCGUAGGUGGUUCGUUAAGUUGAAUGUGAAAGCCCCGGGCUCAACCUGGGAACGGCAUCCAAAACUGGCGAGCUAGAGUAGGGCAGAGGGUGGUGGAAUUUCCUGUGUAGCGGUGAAAUGCGUAGAUAUAGGAAGGAACACCAGUGGCGAAGGCGACCACCUGGGCUCAUACUGACACUGAGGUGCGAAAGCGUGGGGAGCAAACAGG